rnacentral:rRNA from 1 species
AGUGAACGCUGGCGGUAGGCCUAACACAUGCAAGUCGAACGGCAGCACAGUAAGAGCUUGCCCUUACGGGUGGCGAGUGGCGGACGGGUGAGGAAUACAUCGGAAUCUACUUUUUCGUGGGGGAUAACGUAGGGAAACUUACGCUAAUACCGCAUACGACCUACGGGUGAAAGCAGGGGAUCUUCGGACCUUGCGCGAUUGAAUGAGCCGAUGUCGGAUUAGCUAGUUGGCGGGGUAAAGGCCCACCAAGGCGACGAUCCGUAGCUGGUCUGAGAGGAUGAACAGCCACAGUGGAAGUGAGACACGGUCCAGACUCCUACGGGAGGCAGCGGUGGGGAAUAUUGGACAAUGGGCGCAAGCCUGAUCAAGCCAUACCGCGUGGGUGAAGAAGGCCUUCGGGUUGUAAAGCCGUUUUGUUGGGAAAGAAAAGCAGCAGGUUAAUACCCCGCUGUUCUGACGGUACCCAAAGAAUAAGCACCGGCUAACUUCGUG